GACAGAGGGUGCAAACGUUGUUCGGAAUUACUGGGCGUAAAGCGUGUGUAGGCGGUCCACUAAGUCGGGUGUGAAAGCCCUGGGCUCAACCCAGGAAGUGCACUCGAAACUGGCGGGCUAGAGUAUCGGAGAGGUUGGUGGAAUUCUCGGUGUAGAGGUGAAAUUCGUAGAUAUCGAGAGGAACACCGGUGGCGAAGGCGGCCAGCUGGACGAAUACUGACGCUGAGACACGAAAGCGUGGGGAGCAAACAGG
rnacentral:rRNA from 1 species